rnacentral:rRNA from 1 species
CGGAGAGGGAGCCUGAGAAACGGCUACCACUUCUAAGGAAGGCAGCAGGCGCGCAAAUUACCCAAUCCUGACUCAGGGAGGUAGUGACAAGAAAUAACAAUAAACCGGCUUAUGCCGGUUUAAUUGGAAUGAGUACAAUUUAAACAUCUUAACGAGGAACAAUUGGAGGGCAAGUCUGGUGCCAGCAGCCGUGGUAAUUCCAGCUCCAAUAGCGUAUACUAAAGUUGUUGCGGUUAAAAAGCUCGUAGUUGGAUUUCUGUGGGGACGGAGCGGCCGGCCGCAACUUGCGGUUCGAGCUAGCGCUUUCCCUACAUCCUGCCGCGAACCGUGCUACCAUUAGUUUGGUGGCGCCGGGGAUCGGCUCGUUUACUUUGAGAAAAAUAGAGUGUUCAAAGCAGGCCACACGCCUUGAAUAAGUUAGCAUGGAAUAAUAAUAAAGGACUUCGGUUCUAUUUUGUUGGUGUUCGGGACUGAAGUAAUGAUUGAUAGGGACAGUUGGGGCGGUCAGUAUUCCAAAGCGAGAGGUGAAAUUCUUAGACCUUCGGAAGACUAACAGCUGCGAAAGCGUUCCGCAAGGAUGUUCCCUUUGAUCAAGAACGAAAGUUGGGGGAUCGAAGACGAUCAGAUACCGUCGUAGUCUCAACUAUAAACUAUACCAGCUAGGGAUCGGCCAACGUUAAAUUAUUCGACUUGGUCGGCACCUUAUGAGAAAUCAAAGCAUCUGGGUUCCGGGGGGAGUAUGGUCGCAAGGCUGAAACUUAAAGGAAUUGACGGAAGGGCACCACCAGCCGUGGAGCCUGUGGCUUAAUUUGACUCAACACGGGAAAACUUACCAGGUCCAGACAUAGUAAGGAUUGACAGAUUGAUAGCUCUUUCUUGAUUCUGUGGGUGGUGGUGCAUGGCCGUUCUUAGUUGGUGGAGUGAUUUGUCUGGUUAAUUCCGUUAACGAACGAGACCCCAGCCUGCUAAAUAGCGCGGCUGAGCUUUGCUCGGCGCGAGCUUCUUAGAGGGACUAUGAUGCGCGAUAGCACAUGGAAGUUUGGGGCAAUAACAGGUCUGUGAUGCCCUUAGAUGUUCUGGGCCGCACACGGGCUACACUGGCGCCUGCAACGAGCAUAUCAGCUGGCCCGAGAGGGUCUUGGCUAAUCUUUUGAACCGGCGCCGUGCUUGGGAUUGACCAUUGCAAUUGUUGGUCAUGCAACGAGGAAUGCCUUGUAAACGCGAGUCAUCAACUCGCAUUGAAUACGUCCCUGCCCUUUGUACACACCGCCCGUCGCUCCUACCGAUGAAUGUUCCGAUGAAAUUUUCGGAGAGCGCUUGUGAAGUUGGUUAUGCCUUCCGAACGAGAGGCUCAAAGUCACUUAAAUCUGAACAUUUCGAGGAAGGAGAAGUCGUAACAAGGUAACC